GACGAACGCUGGCGGCGUGCUUAACACAUGCAAGUCGAGCGGUAAGGCCCUUUCGGGGGUACACGAGCGGCGAACGGGUGAGUAACACGUGGGUGACCUGCCCUCAGCUCUGGGAUAAGCCUGGGAAACCGGGUCUAAUACUGGAUAUGACUCCAUGACGCAUGUUGUGGGGUGGAAAGCCUUGUGCGGCUGAGGAUGGGCCCGCGGCCUAUCAGCUUGUUGGUGGGGUGANGGCCUACCAAGGCGACGACGGGUAGCUGGCCUGAGAGGCGACGGCCACACUGGGACUGAGACACGGCCCAGACUCCUACGGGAGGCAGCAGUGGGGAAUCUUGCGCAAUGGGCGAAAGCCUGACGCAGCGACGCCGCGUGAGGGAUGACGGCCU
rnacentral:rRNA from 1 species